GGAGGUGCAGCUGGAAUCAUUUUCAGUGGGCGCUGAUUUUUUCUAUAGACUUAUCGAUGAAACGGAAUGGAUUAGCUCAAGGCACCUGGACAUGGCAACCUUUCUUAUCCGGAAAAGGCAACUCUCUCAUCCGUUGGUAUUUGGAACUGACUGGACAACGGCAGAUUGUUGCUUGCAGCAAUUUCUAGAGCCGUUCAAACCGACUGCCAAGAAACGU